AACGAACGCUGGCGGCAGGCCUAACACAUGCAAGUCGAGCGCCCCGCAAGGGGAGCGGCGGACGGGUGAGUAACGCGUGGGAACGUGCCCUUUGCUACGGAAUAGCUCCGGGAAACUGGAAUUAAUACCGUAUGUGCCCUACGGGGGAAAGAUUUAUCGGCAAAGGAUCGGCCCGCGUUGGAUUAGCUAGUUGGUGGGGUAAUGGCCUACCAAGGCGACGAUCCAUAGCUGGUCUGAGAGGGUGAUCAGCCACAUUGGGACUGAGACACGGCCCAGACGCCUACGGGAGGCAGCAGUGGGGAGUAUUGGACAAUGGGGGCAACCCUGAUCCAGCAAUGCCGCGUGUGUGAAGAAGGCCUGAGGGUUGUAAAGCACUUUCACCGGGGACGAUAAUGACGGUACCCGUAGAAGAAGCCCCGGCUAACUUCGUACCAGCCGCCGCCGUAAUAC
rnacentral:rRNA from 1 species